rnacentral:rRNA from 1 species
ACGGCUACCUUGUUACGACUUAGCCCCAGUCAUCGGUUUUGCCCUAGGGCGCUGCUCGCGCUCACGCACUUCAGGCACUCCCGACUCCCAUGGCUUGACGGGCGGUGUGUACAAGGCCCGGGAACGUAUUCACCGCGCCGUGGCUGAUGCGCGAUUACUAGCGAAUCCAGCUUCAUGGAGUCGGGUUGCAGACUCCAAUCCGAACUGAGACAGGCUUUCGGGUUCCGCUCCCUGUCGCCAGGUGGCUUCCCGCUGUACCUGCCAUUGUAACACGUGUGUCGCCCCGGACGUAAGGGCCGUGCUGAUUUGACGUCAUCCCCGCCUUCCUCGCAGCUUGCGCCGGCAGUCCCGCCAGAGUCCCCAGCUUUGCCUGUUGGCAACUGGCGGUAGGGGUUGCGCUCGUUAUGGCACUUAAGCCGACACCUCACGGCACGAGCUGACGACAACCAUGCAGCACCUCGUCGCAGGUCCGUAGACGGGCAUCCUUUCAGACACCCUUCCUGCAACGUUUG